CAGCCGCCACGGUAAUACGAAGGGUGCAAGCGUUAAUCGGAUUUACUGGGCGUAAAGCGUGCGUAGGCGGCUUCUUAAGUCGGAUGUGAAAUCCCUGAGCUUAACUUAGGAAUUGCAUUCGAUACUGGGAAGCUAGAGUAUGGGAGAGGAUGGUAGAAUUCCAGGUGUAGCGGUGAAAUGCGUAGAGAUCUGGAGGAAUACCGAUGGCGAAGGCAGCCAUCUGGCCUAAUACUGACGCUGAGGUACGAAAGCAUGGGGAGCAAACAGGAUUAGAUACCCCGGUAGUCCCUGUCUCUUAUAC
rnacentral:rRNA from 1 species